rnacentral:rRNA from 1 species
GACGAACGCUGGCGGCGUGCCUAAUACAUGCAAGUCGACCUUAGUGGCGAACGGGUGAGUAACACGUGGGUAACCUGCCCAUCAGAAGGGGAUAACACUUGGAAACAGGUGCUAAUACCGUAUACUGAUGGCUGGACCCGCGGUGCAUUAGCUAGUUGGUGAGGUAACGGCUCACCAAGGCCACGAUGCAUCGCCGGCCUGAGAGGGUGACGGCCAACAUGGGGACUGAGAAACGGCCCCAACUCCUACGGGAGGCAGCAGUAGGGAAUUUUCGGCAAUGGAAGAAAGUCUGACCCAGCAAAUCCGCGUGGGUGAAGAAGGUUUUCGGAUCGGAAAACUCUGUUUUUAGAGAAGCGGUAUCUAACCAGAAAGCCACGGCUAACUACGUGCCAGCAGCCGCGGUAAUAC